rnacentral:rRNA from 1 species
AGAGUUUGAUCCUGGCUCAGAGUGAACGCUGGCGGCAGGCCUAACACAUGCAAGUCGAACGGCAGCACAGAGGAGCUUGCUCCUUGGGUGGCGAGUGGCGGACGGGUGAGGAAUACGUCGGAAUCUGCCUAUUUGUGGGGGAUAACGUAGGGAAACUUACGCUAAUACCGCAUACGACCUACGGGUGAAAGCGGAGGACCUUCGGGCUUCGCGCAGAUAGAUGAGCCGACGUCGGAUUAGCUAGUUGGGGGGGUAAAGGCCCACCAAGGCGACGAUCCGUAGCUGGUCUGAGAGGAUGAUCAGCCACACUGGAACUGAGACACGGUCCAGACUCCUACGGGAGGCAGCAGUGGGGAAUAUUGGACAAUGGGCGCAAGCCUGAUCCAGCCAUGCCGCGUGUGUGAAGAAGGCCUUCGGGUUGUAAAGCACUUUUGUCCGGAAAGAAAAGCUUCGGGUUAAUACCCCGGGGUGAUGACGGUACCGGAAGAAUAAGCACCGGCUAACUUCGUGCCAGCAGCCGCGGUAAUACGAAGGGUGCAAGCGUUACUCGGAAUUACUGGGCGUAAAGCGUGCGUAGGCGGUUUGUUAAGUCUGAUGUGAAAGCCCCGGGCUCAACCUGGGAAUGGCACUGGAUACUGGCAACCUAGAAUGUGGGAGAGGGUGGCGGAAUUCCCGGUGUAGCAGUGAAAUGCGUAGAUAUCGGGAGGAACAUCCGUGGCGAA